UGAGGUUUCCUUGCUAAGAAGUAUGCACAGCUCUUCUUUUUGCUUUCUCCUAGGCAGGACAGAAAGCAUUCUUGUGCCUGUGUUUCAAAGAGGCCCGAAGACUGCAAGCCAGAGCCACCAAAAUGCAACAUAAGGCAAGCGAAGAUCAAGGCAAGCAACCCCGUGACACCAGCAUUGGAUGUCUGGGGAGUGGGCUGCUCUCAGCAACAUGAAUUUCACUUCCCUCCAUGUUUUCUGGAGAGUGAACUCAGCAGUGAUCCAGGGGGUGAGAGUUUGCUCUGGUAAG